GAGUAACCAAUAAGACUACGGUUUUAGAGCUAGAAAUAGCAAGUUAAAAUAAGGCUAGUCCGUUAUCAACUUGAAAAAGUGGCACCGAGUCGGUGCU
rnacentral:sRNA from 1 species